rnacentral:rRNA from 1 species
CAGUCGCCGCGGUAAUACGAAGGGUGCAAGCGUUAGUCGGAAUUACUGGGCGUAAAGCGUGCGUAGGCGGUUUGUUAAGUCUGUUGUGAAAUCCCCGGGCUCAACCUGGGAAUGGCAAUGGAUACUGGCAAGCUAGAGUGUGUCAGAGGAUGGUGGAAUUCCCGGUGUAGCGGUGAAAUGCGUAGAGACCGGGAGGAACAUCAGUGGCGAAGGCGGCCAUCUGGGACAACACUGACGCUGAGGCACGAAAGCGUGGGGAGCAAACAGGAUUAGAUACCCGCGUAGUCCCUGUCUCUUAUAC